rnacentral:rRNA from 1 species
UACGGAGGAUGCGAGCGUUAUCUGGAUUUAUUGGGUUUAAAGGGUGCGUAGGCGGACGCUUAAGUCAGCGGUAAAAUUGCGGGGCUCAACCUCGUCGAGCCGUUGAAACUGGGUGUCUUGAGUGGGCGAGAAGUACGCGGAAUGCGUGGUGUAGCGGUGAAAUGCAUAGAUAUCACGCAGAACUCCGAUUGCGAAGGCAGCGUACCGGCGCCCAACUGACGCUGAAGCACGAAGGCGUGGGUAUCGAACAGG